GAGCAUUUCCCGUUGCUAAGAUAUGAAAGCAGAAAAUCAGAGGAAAAGGUCUCUCUCUCCCCUUCUCUCACUCAUUAAUACACACACACAAACACAGACAUGAAAACUUUUUUCUCAAUACAAAUUAUUUUUGCAUUCUUAAGAUAAACUUCAUACUCUGUAGUAAGAUUCAAUCUGUUUAGGCUGUAAGGAAGAUUUUGGCUGGAUCGAGGAUUGCAGCCAAAAUAUCUGGAUGAAGAGGAAAAGGUGUACUGAGUUAGGUACAUCUCCACCUAAUAAUUAGCCUAAAGAGAAAUCAAUUCACAUUGGAAUCGUAGUCUAUAUGUAUCAAAAUGAAUUUGUUCAUAAACUUACAACGUUGUCAAAUAGGGCAGCAAGGAUAGAGAUUCUGUGAUAUUUCCUGUAAGAUCAUUGUGACUCAGAUCCCUGUAAAAAUUGUACAAACAAAUCAAAGGGUUAUUUGGUGAACUAAAGUGAAAUGCCAAAUAUUUUAUUGGUUUAGUAAGAUUCAAGUUAGCUGAGGUUCCUGGAAAGCGUCUUUUAUGAUACCGUGCUUAUGCUCUGUUGUCUUAACAUCCAACUCAAUUCAGCUUAACAAAUCUUUAUCCCAUACUUGUGGGGGGUUGGCUGCAAGAAUCCUCCUUUUCCCCUUUGCUCUAACAAGGGCCAUCUCCAAAGUUAAAUCACAAAGGUUCGUAUGCUUCUUAAUUAACUCAUUCCAUGUGCUUUUAGGUCAAUACGUUCCCUAGUAUAUGAUCAUGGAUGGUACGUGAGUGGCCGAAAGCUCAAGUAUUCUUGAUGUGCAUGUGCUCUGACGAGCGAGCAUCAUAUUUCUCAAGUAUCAUGUGAACAAUUGUAUUUUAACUAUGUUUUAUUGCCUUGUAUCUAAUAAUCACCGAGACAGUGGUUUAAUGCUAUAUAGAAUUG
rnacentral:lncRNA from 1 species